AACACUGUUAACCUGCGGUACCUGCGGAGGGAUCAUUACAGUAUUCUUUUGCCAGCGCUUAACUGCGCGGCGAAAAACCUUACACACAGUGUCUUUUUGAUACAGAACUCUUGCUUUGGUUUGGCCUAGAGAUAGGUUGGGCCAGAGGUUUAACAAAACACAAUUUAAUUAUUUUUACAGUUAGUCAAAUUUUGAAUUAAUCUUCAAAACUUUCAACAACGGAUCUCAGAUCGGAAGAGC
rnacentral:misc_RNA from 1 species